rnacentral:rRNA from 1 species
CCUACGGGUGGCAGCAGUGGGGAAUAUUGCACAAUGGGGGAAACCCUGAUGCAGCGACGCCGCGUGAAGGAAGAAGUAUUUCGGUAUGUAAAGCUCUAUCAGCAGGGCAGAAAAUGACGGUAGCUGAGUAAGAAGCCCCGGCUAACUACGUGCCAGCAGCCGCGGUAAUACGUAGGGGGCAAGCGUUAUCCGGAUUUACUGGGUGUAAAGGGAGCGUAGACGGCAGUGCAAGUCUGGAGUGAAAGGCGGGGGCUCAACCCCAGGACUGCUCUGGAAACUGUACGGCUGGAGUGCAGGAGAGGUAAGUGGAAUUCCUAGGGUAGCGGUGAAAUGCGUAGAUAUUAGGAGGAACACCAGUGGCGAAGGCGGCUUACUGGACUGUAACUGACGUUGAGGCUCGAAAGCGUGGGGAGCAAACAGGAUUAGAUACCCUUGUAGUC